AUCAAAUGGGCAGCAGUGUGGAGGAUGGAUUGCAGGCAGGAAGAGACUGGAGUCAGUGAGACCAGUUGGGAGAUAAUAGACCAGAGACACAAGAAAGAAACCCAUAUUUUGGAGCUGAAGGUCAUGAGUCUUUCCUUUCUCGUCUUGUGAGAGGCAGGGGAAUCCAAGAGUGGGAUCCAUGGAUCUUGGAGGUUAUUUCUAAAGAAAAUCAAGUCACCCUCUAGCUCUACAACUGGCUUCACAAAUGCCCAUAAUACCAGACCACGAAGUGGGAUUUCUCUGGAAGACCCAAGGUGGAGUGGAUGGAUGAUGGCAGGUCAUUCUGAAGAUGAUAAAAUGUGUGGGUGAUCCCCUUUGGCCCUACCUCUAGGCCUAGUUACCCUUUGAAAUGAUCCCUCCCAGCAAAUGGAAAGAUCAGUCAACUUAGGUCUGUUCUCUGGCAGGAAUUACUGGACAACUUACCUCCAGCAAGAGCUGGGGA